rnacentral:rRNA from 1 species
CCUACGGGCGGCUGCAGUGGGGAAUAUUGCACAAUGGGCGCAAGCCUGAUGCAGCCAUGCCGCGUGUGUGAAGAAGGCCUUCGGGUUGUAAAGCACUUUCAGCGGGGAGGAAGGCGUUAAGGUUAAUAACCUUGGCGAUUGACGUUACCCGCAGAAGAAGCACCGGCUAACUCCGUGCCAGCAGCCGCGGUAAUACGGAGGGUGCAAGCGUUAAUCGGAAUUACUGGGCGUAAAGCGCACGCAGGCGGUCUGUCAAGUCGGAUGUGAAAUCCCGGGGCUCAACCUGGGAACUGCAUUCGAAACUGGCAGGCUAGAGUCUUGUAGAGGGGGGUAGAAUUCCAGGUGUAGCGGUGAAAUGCGUAGAGAUCUGGAGGAAUACCGGUGGCGAAGGCGGCCCCCUGGACAAAGACUGACGCUCAGGUGCGAAAGCGUGGGGAGCAAACAGGAUUAGAUACCCGUGUAGUC